rnacentral:tRNA from 1 species
UGCACCAUUAGCGCAAUUGGAUAGAGCGUCUGACUACGAAUCAGGAGGUUGUAGGUUCGACUCCUACAUGGUGCAU